rnacentral:lncRNA from 1 species
CAACCAAAAGGAGGAGUAACUUUACUAAACACCAAUGGAACAAAAAGAGAGUACAAAGACAUAAAAAAGAGUACAAAGUUAAAGUAAUUAAAUACUCUAAUAUCCCAAAUACCCAUGAAAAUAAUCUCACAAAUAUCACUCCAAAUAACAGGUUCACUCAAAGUAUUUUACAACACAACUCUCUCACAAAUACUCUCUACAAAGAAGAAAAACAAACACAACUACAUCUUCUCAAAUAUUGUGUUCUUCUCAAAUUGGUGUGUCCCCUCAGUUGGGGUGUUCUUCUAUAGAGCUAAUGAGCUCCUUAUAUAAGCAAGAAUUGUCCCCAUUGAUGUCAUCAAUGACAUCAAAGAACCAUACAAUUUGCAACCAUUUUUCUUAAAAAUAUUUGUCCAUCUUUAACUAGUUCUUUGGCAGUCAAAGAAGAAAAUUCUUGCUGCCAAAGUUGAACAAAAUGGGGCUGGACCUUACAAAUUUCCCCCUCCAGUUUCAUACAUCAUAGGAAGGUAUCUCCGUCUUCUUAAAGAGAUUUAGUAUAAUACUAAAUCUCGCCUUUUUAUCAAGGCUAUCAAACUCCCCGUCUGUCAUUUUUUUUGAAAUUUUCUCCUUUCCUUGCAGUACGAUAUCAGAAUCAUCCUGAACUAGGAUAGCUUUCAUUUUCAACUGCCACAUACCAAAGUUUGCAUUUCGGUUAAAUUUCUCAACAUAAAUCUUUGUAAUCGUUAUGGUGACUACUAAGACAAAAUCGAGAUUAACCUGCUCUGAUACCAAUUUGUUAGGAUCGAAAAUCCUGGAUAGUGCGGAAUUAAACAAAAUAAUCGAUUGAAUGCGAUAAAAAAGACGAUAAUAACGAUAAGUUGAGAAAAAUAAAAGAGGCACAAAUUUAACCUGGUUCGAUCAACUUGACCUACGUCCACAACCAAAAGGAGGAGUAACUUUACUAAACAUCAACGAAACAAAAAAAGAGUACAAAGACACAAAAGAGAGUACAAAAUUAGAGUAAUUGAAUACUCUAAUAUCCCAAAUACCCAAGAAAAUAACCUCACAAAUAUCACUCCAAAGAAGAGGUUUACUCAAAGUAUUUCACAACACAACUCUCUCACAAAUACUCUCUACAAAGAAGAAAAACAAACACAACUCCAUCUUCUCAAAUGUUGGGUUCUUCUCAAAUUGGUGUGUCCUCUCAGUUGGGGUGUUCUUCCAUAGAGCUAAUGAGCUCCUUAUAUAGGCAAGAAUUGUCCCCAUUGAUAUCAUCAAUGACAUCAAUGAACCAUGCAAUUUGCAGCCAUCUUUCUUGAAAAUAUUUGUCCAUCUUUAACUAGUUCUUUGGCAGCCAAAGAAGAAAA